CCACUAACCAUGAACGCAUCCAUGCACGCUUUUUGGCUUGUUUAGCUCGUCUAAGUUUCGUACUACACAGUAUUACGUUCAGAGCAGCGUAUCUUUGCCGCAGCGUGGCCUCCAUGUUUGUGUACAUUGUUAGUCUGUGUGACGACCAAACACCGUUUGUGUGUGACACCACUGACAGGCCGGCGCCGCACCCAAAAUAUUGUCCAUUUUAUGAAAAACGACCGAAAAAGUGCUAGUGUGACACCGCCUUAAAAGGGAGAGACGAGGAGUUGGCGGAAUGUUGUUUGAUGAUCUUUAGGACGCAGAGCCAGAGAAGACGUUUGGGUUUGUGAGGGACUGUGCUGAAGCUGUCAUUCCUUCCUAUCUACCCCUGGUCAAGAAUCACAAGAACAAUGCUGUGUCGGAGGCAGAGCGGUGUUGGCGACUGCUGCGUUGAGGGAGGUACAUGGAGUUCAACUUGGUGUACCAGUGAGGCACCAAGUUUGGAUUUGCCACGCCCAACGCCAAGAUUGAAAGUAUCUUGAUGUCCCCUUCAUGUGGUUGUGUCAAGAUAUGGAGGGAGAAAGAACAGCCAAGGAGGAGGAGGGAGAGGUACAGGAAGAUAACAAGAAGAAGAAGAAAAAGAAGAAAGAAUGAAUGAAGAGAAAAAAAGAAAAAGGAAAGUCAAGCCAAGAGUCCCUGAAUGCUGUGAAGGAGACACUGCUGCUGGAACACUGCACCUCCAAGCCAAGCCAAGCCACAACACAACACAAGCCUUCUACAACACCUACAGCCAUCAGCAACACCCAGAGUACAAGACAACACCUGGAGCCAUGAAGAACAG
rnacentral:lncRNA from 1 species